rnacentral:lncRNA from 1 species
CUUCAGUUGACUUAUUGCCAACCUUAACCUUAUCAUUCUCCUCUUUUUCUUGACCUUUUUCCUUUUUACCGCUCUCAUCUUUGUCUUCAGGGACAUCCUCAGCCUUUUCUUGACCUUUAUCCUUUUCACCACUCUCAUCUUUGUCUUCAGGGACAUCCUCUUCUUCCAUGACAUCUAAUGCUGGUUUCUUAGCUUCAACACUUUCUUUUUCUUCUUUACUAUCAGUACUUUCCUUAACAUCAGUUUCUUCCCCCAAUUUGUC